AUUAAUGACCCGGAGCCACAUGACGGAGCAUGACACAGCACUUUUGGGCACAAGGCAGGGCCCAGAGGGGUGCGUGGGGGCCGCAGCCCAGCCCCCAAGCCCGGCCAGCGGCUUUACUGGGGUGUAACAAACACACGAUAAACUGUGCAUACUCCAGUGUUCAUGUGGAUGAGUUUGGACAUAUGCACACACUUCCGAAACCACCAGCACAAUCAAGACGGCAGACAUAUCCAUCACCCCCAAGGGUGUCCUUGUGUCCUUUUGUCAUUCAUCCCUCCUGGCACCCCCAUCCACACUCCCAUUGCCUGCUGACUGUGGCUGAUCUGCUUUCUGUGGCUGUGGAUUAGUUUGCGUUCUCUACAAUUUUCUGAAGCACCAGUUGGCCCAGAUGCUUCUCAUCUUUAGAGUUGAGCUGCAGGCUGGAGACCUGGAAGGCCCUCGCAGCACCUGCUCCCACCCUCUCACCUCACGAAAGCACAGGAACAUGGGUUUGGAGCCAAUGGAAAGUACUGGAAUUUGGCUCUGCUCCGUGGCCCUGGGCAAGUCACUGCCCCUCUCUGGGCUUCAGUUUCCUCCUUGCUCCAUGAGGGCAGGAGAUUUUGUCUGUUUCAUUGACAAUGUGUUCCCAGAGCUCAGCACAGUGUCAGGCACACACUAGGUAACAGCACCUCGACUUCCUACUAAAGAACCCCCUCUUCCCUUUUCUCAGUCCAUGAGGCUGGGGGUGCCCAGAGGCCUCUGUCUCCAGGGGUGGACAUGUGACUAGGUCUUGCUCUAGUGAUUGGUCCAGGGAUGGGCACAUGACUGAGCCUGCCCAAUGAAACUUGAUCCUGGGACUUUAGGGUUGGCCGUGAUUUGUGAAGGAGAUGCCAUUUUCCAUUGGAUGGACAUCGAGCAAGUGAACACUUAGAGAAAAAGAGGACAAAACAAGGGAAAAGCCUGCCUGAGAGGAAGCAGCACAGAGCUGGACAGGCUUUGAACUCCUGGAUCCCACUGUUCCUGAAAUUAGGCACCUUCAACUUUCUAGUUAUGUGAGCCACUGUCUUUCCCAUUUUUGGCUGAAAACAGUUGGGACUUGCUUUCUGUCCCUUGCAUACAGAAGGUGCUGACUGACCCCUGCCCCAUGGAAGAAGAUACUCCAGGCAGAGGAAAUAGUGUGUAUAGACACCCCAAAGAGAAUGCCAAGUGGGGCACUCAUGUACCAAGGAGAAGAAGGAGGAGGCACGUGGGAGCUGAGCUUAAGAGUUAGUCGGGUGGUCAAGGUGGGAGAAGGGGGUAUCCUUAGCACAGAGAACAACCAAUGCAAAAGCUUGGAGGGGUGACUAGUUAGUGAAGAUCAACUAUGUGCUGAGCUCGUGUUGGGUGGCAAGGGACACAGACGAAAAGGGCACAGUGGAACCCAGCUGCUCCUCACCUGCUCCAGCACAGUGCAGGCUUGUCUGCUUUUGGAGCAGAGCCUGGACACCUCCGCGUCCUUCCCCUGGCAGAGUGCUGCCAGCACGCUCUCUCAGACUCUCCAGCAUCUCCUGGUUGAUGUGCAUCAUGGGGACCACACAAGAUUAUUUUAUAGGCUGCACAGGCGAAGCAUAAAAUCACCUCGGGUCACAUAGUGAGAGUUAUUCUCUCUGCAAAUUCUUUACAGUCUUUCCUUUAUAUCCAGAAGAGUCUCUGUGUGGUGCUAACUUGCCUCUAAGACCAAAUACUUGCUAAUCUCCCUUUGUGAAAAAGAGAGCAGGUAUCAGGCUCAUUCCUGUCUCAGGCACACAACUGUAUCUAGCUAGACUUUUCGAAAUGUCAUAUAGAGCUGCAGCACAUAUGAAUGAUGUGCCCAGCUGGUCCCAGGCCUGUAAUCGGCACCCCAGUGAGCAGACUGAACAUCCCCACCCCCACAGCUGCCCUCUCUCCCCUCUACUCAUGUUCCCUCUAGGGACGCCACGAUCCCGACUUGUAUCACCACAGAUGAGUGUCACAUGUUUUUGAAUUUUACAUCUUAUCUGUUUUCUGUUUCUAUACAAGUUUGCCUUUUCUAGAAUUCCAUAUAAGUGGAAUUCUACAAUGUGUUAUCUCAAUUUGAGUCUGUUUUUUUUUCCUGCUCAGCAUGAUGCUUUUGAGAUGCAUAUAUGAGGUUUUGUGUAUCCAUAGAUGGUUCUUUUUUAUUGCAGAAUAAUGUUCCAGGGUAUGGAUGUACCAAAGCUUGUUCAUCCAUUCACCAGCUGAGGGAUAUUUGGACUGUUUCCAGUUUUCAGCCAUUAUAAAUACAGCCACUAGGCACAUUUGC